rnacentral:lncRNA from 1 species
GCAAUUACACCUUACUUACUAUGUUGCCUUUCAUUCUACUUUUCGCUUGCCUUUCUGUAUUUGUUUUUAUUCUCUUUUAGUCAAUAUAAUUUUGCUGUUAGCUUGUUGGAGUUCAUCAGUGAAGACUAUCAAUUUAUAAUGUAGGUUUAUUUGGGGGUAGGGAGCCAAAUGUUUCUAGAACUGCACUUCUCAUUGUGGCCAGCAUGAAGCGUGAUUGGAUGCAGGUUAUACAUGAUUUUCUUUGCAUAUAAUUUAUGUAGAAGUUACUGGAAUAAUUCAAUGGAACUAAUAAGAAUCACUACAUUUUUGCACAAAUCCAUAAAUUGUCUAUAGACAGGGAGAAAGCCAAGUGGGGUAUGUGGAGCUGCACUAUACAUUGCUGCUCUUUCACAUGGACUGAAUCGUUCUAAAUCAGAAAUUGUAAGUGGUCGUUCUAGAUUUUCUUUAUAUUGAUGGUCAGAAUUCAGAUUUCUUUAUAGACAUGCUUCAUGAUGUAAGUAUUCCGCUUACAACUUACGUGCAUCUGAAAGUAUGAUAAUGUGUGUGAAAGUAAGGUUUCCUAGUCUUUUAUGUAUCUGGCUUGACCUAAUUCUCUUUUGCAAGCUUUGCAUCUGCUUGAUGCCUUCUCAUGAAACAUCUUACUUCAUAUAAAAAAAAGUUUUAUUCUGCUUUGUGAACUCUUACGCGUUUUAGCUAGUUUUCGAGGACUACUUCUUUCUUGGUCACAGAUUUGGACUUCUUCUUGACAUUGAACUUGACAACUGUUCUUGUUAUACUUUCUUUACUUAUUUUAUGUUCAAGCCUAUGUAGUACAAACACUUGUACGACUCUCACAUUUAUUUUUUAUGGUCACAUAGCACAAGGAACAUGAUAUUUCCUUUCCUAUUUUGUUUAUUUUUUUGGUCAACAGAUUAAAGUUGUACAUAUUUGUGAAGCAACAUUGACCAAGCGUUUGAUUGAAUUUGAAAACACAGAAUCUGGGAGCUUAACGGUAUGUACCAAAAACUGGUAGGAUGACCACUGCUGAUACUUUGAUAUUCUCUGUUUGAAA